rnacentral:rRNA from 1 species
CCCUUAGAUGUUCUGGGCAGCACGCGCGCUACAAUGGUCUUCGCAAACGGAUGCAUUCUCGAAGGAGAAUGCCAAUCUUGGAAUCUAUGCCUUGGUCGGGACAGUUGCUUGCAAUUUUUCGACUCGAACCAGGAAUUCCUUGUAAUCGUGAUUCAUCACAUCACGAUGAAUACGUCCCUGCCCUUUGUACACACCGCCCGUCGCUACUACCGAUUGGAUGGUUUAGUGAGAUCCUCGGAUUGGUCACGGCACGGUGGCAACACUGCGUCGGUGUGCCGAGAAGACGAUCAAACUUGAUCAUCUAGAGGAAGUAAAAGUCGUAACA